UACAGAGGGUGCGAGCGUUAAUCGGAAUUACUGGGCGUAAAGGGCGUGUAGGUGGUUGCUUAAGUUGCCUGUGAAAUACCUGGGCUUAACCUGGGGAUGUCAGUCAAAACUGAGCGACUCGAGUAGGAGAGAGGGAAGUGGAAUUUCCGGUGUAGCGGUGAAAUGCGUAGAUAUCGGGAGGAACACCAGUGGCGAAGGCGGCGAUCUGGGAAGAUACUGACGCUGAGGUGCGAAAGCGUGGGGAGCAAACAGG
rnacentral:rRNA from 1 species